ensembl:lncRNA
GGGAACACAAGCAGGGGAAGUGGGAGAGGAAAAAGCAGGUUCCUAGCGGAGGAGCCUGAUGUGGGGCUCAAUCCCAGAAUGCUGGGAUCACGCCCUGAGCUGAAGGCAGACGCUUAACGACUGCGCCCACCCAGGCGCCCCUGUUUUUUAAAUACUUUUGAAAUAAAAUGUGAAUGAAAGUUCUAGGUGGUUGUACCGUGUGAGCUCACAUACUCAGAUUAAUCUGUGGGCAUAGGUUUGGUCUGACUUAUAAUCAGUGUCUUUUACUAACAGCCUAAGUCACCUACUAGGCUCUGAAAAUUAUUUUCUACCAUCUAGCUUCUUGUGAGGAAUUCUCGAGAAGCCAUGACAUUACAGUCAGCUGUGGUCCUCUGUCUGUCACUCAUCACAGUUCCUUCCAACUUUGCCAUUGAGAACAACAAAAAAAUAGAACACCCCAGGCACUCUCAAGAGAGAUGUUGAAUAAUUUUUAUGAUCACUAAAUCUGGGACCACCAAGAAGCACAGAUUGUAUGUUAGAAUUAAACCUUAAGAGGACCAGUCCAUUCUUGUGGUAUCAAAGAUCCUAAAAGUGAAUGUUCCUUUGUAUUUUAAUAGACACAUGAUUAUUAAUAUACUAAUAUUCAUUAUACAUAUAUAUAUAAUCACUUGGUAAUUAGUCUUAUUAGUGUGGCCUAUAACCAAUUUAGUUUCCUUCUCUACCCUGUCAUAAUUAAACUCCAUAUCCUAGUUGAUAUUUCUGUCUAAUUUCUUCAUCUUUAUAAAAUUAGUGGAUUAGAUUCUAUUCACUUCUAAUGUUAUCCCUAGCUUUGAAAUGUAGGACUGGGCUUAGAAUACAUAUAUGUAUGCAUAACUUUAUUUUCAUUACUUUUAGCCUUGUAAACUUUUAGCCUAAUUACUUUUAGCCUAAUAUUCUUGAUUCCUUUUUUAACACAUUAAAUGUUUUUGUUUGUUUGUUUGUUUGUUUUUAAAGAUUUAAUUUCUUUGACAGUGAGAAAGCCAGAGCACAAGCAGGAGAAGCAGGAGAGGGAGAAGCAGGCUCCCCGCUGACCAGGGAGCUUGACAGGGGGCUUGAUCCCAGGAUGCCCCCCCCAUCAUGACCUAAGCUGAAGGCAGACGCUUAAGCGACUGAGCCACCCAGGUGCCCCACAUUAAAUGUUAAGAAUUACUAACAUCAACUACCUGAAAUAGUGUGCACAAUUCUAUACGUAUAGGCGUUUUUAUAAAUGAGCUGAGCUCUGAUUCGCAUUUCAGAGACAAAACAGUAAAAAAAAUUACAUAUUCAAAAAGAGGUUAGAAUAGGGUUGUGAAGGAUAUCCAGUUAAAUUUAAAUUAGAAAUAAACAAUCUUCAGUAUGUCUAUGCAAUAUUUGGGAUAUAUGUAUCCUAAAAAUUUAUUCAUUGUAUAUGUGAAAUUCUCAUUCAAUUGGGUGACCUAUACUUUCAUUCACUAACACUGACAACCUUCAUUUAGAACUGCUGUACCAGAUGCUUCUCUUCCUCUGUUUCUCCUUAAUUUUUGCCUAAAAUGGUGACAUUUCUUUUAUAUUUCAAAUCAAUUUCACAAUUUCUGAGUUCAAAAUAAAAAAAC